rnacentral:lncRNA from 1 species
CCCCGGCGGGGAAUCGCUCCUCCCUUCUCUCUCCAUGUUCUCUGUGUCCCCCUAGCAGCCCCGGCUCUGCCGCCUGCUCCGCUCGGGCUCCCGCAGCCCGGCUUCUCCAGCCAGAAGCAGGGGGGAACCCAGGCGUCCGGGGCUGGCUCCUUGCACCAGAACCACCUGCCGGUGCUGAUCCUCCUGGUGCCCAUCCUGGUGUCUCUGGCCUUCGUGUGGCAGCGUCAGAGGAGGCUCCGUGGCCAGGGGACCCAGGAGUCCGAGUGGUCGGACACCUGAACGAGCGGGGUGCAGGAGCUGAUAGGAGAGAGAUGGCUCAGGUAUAACCCCCUCUCCCCCAACACGUGGGGUGCAGGCUCUUUUCUGGG